GAUGAAGAACGUAGCGAAAUGCGAUAAGUAAUGCGAAUUGCAGAAUUCCGUGAGUCAUCGAAUCUUUGAACGCACAUUGUGCCCUUUGGCAUUCCGAAGGGCAUGCCUGUUCGAGCGUCAUUUAUCAACCCUCAAGCCCGGCUUGCGGUUGGGUCCCGCCGUGGGCGACCACGGCGGACCCGAAAGGUAAUGGCGGUGCCCGUGGGGCCCUGGACGCAGCGAGCUUCUCGGCACGCGUCCCGGCGGUCCCCGGCGCCGUCUCCACCAAUCCACCACGCAGAUUGACCUCGGAUCAGGUAGGGAUACCCGCUGAACUUAAGCAUAUAAUAAGCGGAGGA
rnacentral:misc_RNA from 1 species